rnacentral:rRNA from 1 species
GUGGGGAAUAUUGGACAAUGGGCGCAAGCCUGAUCCAGCCAUGCCGCGUGAGUGAUGAAGGCCUUAGGGUUGUAAAGCUCUUUUGUCCGGGAAGAUAAUGACUGUACCGGAAGAAUAAGCCCCGGCUAACUUCGUGCCAGCAGCCGCGGUAAUACGAAGGGGGCUAGCGUUGCUCGGAAUCACUGGGCGUAAAGGGCGCGUAGGCGGACUCUUAAGUCGGGGGUGAAAGCCCAGGGCUCAACCCUGGAAUAGCCUUCGAUACUGAGAGUCUUGAGUUCGGAAGAGGUUGGUGGAAUUGCGAGUGUAGAGGUGAAAUUCGUAGAUAUUCGCAAGAACACCAGUGGCGAAGGCGGCCAACUGGUCCGAUACUGACGCUGAGGCGCGAAAGCGUGGGGAGCAAACAGGAUUAGAUACCCUAGUAGUCC